AUUGAACGCUGGCGGCAGGCUUAACACAUGCAAGUCGAGCGGGGGAGGUUGCUUCGGUAAUUGACCUAGCGGCGGACGGGUGAGUAAUGCUUAGGAAUCUGCCUAUCAGUGGGGGACAACAUUCCGAAAGGAAUGCUAAUACCGCAUACGCCCUACGGGGGAAAGCAGGGGAUCUUCGGACCUUGCGCUAAUAGAUGAGCCUAAGUCGGAUUAGCUAGUUGGUGGGGUAAAGGCCUACCAAGGCGACGAUCUGUAGCGGGUCUGAGAGGAUGAUCCGCCACACUGGGACUGAGACACGGCCCAGACUCCUACGGGAGGCAGCAGUGGGGAAUAUUGGACAAUGGGCGGAAGCCUGAUCCAGCCAUGCCGCGUGUGUGAAGAAGGCCUUUUGGUUGUAAAGCACUUUAAGCGAGGAGGCGGCUCUUAAGGUUAAUACCCUUGAUGAGUGGACGUUACUCGCAGAAUAAGCACCGGCUAACUCUGUGCCAGCCGCCGCGGUAAUAC
rnacentral:rRNA from 1 species